CCUACGGGAGGCUGCAGUGGGGAAUAUUGCACAAUGGGGGAAACCCUGAUGCAGCGACGCCGCGUGAGUGAAGAAGUAAUUCGGUAUGUAAAGCUCUAUCAGCUGGGAAGAUGAUGACGGUAUCUGAGUAAGCAGCACCGGCUAACUACGUGCCAGCAGCCGCGGUAAUACGUAGGGGGCAAGCGUUAUCCGGAUUUACUGGGUGUAAAGGGAGCGUAGGCGGCAUGGCAAGUCAGGAGUGAAAGCCAUGGGCUUAACCCACGAACUGCUCUUGAAACUGUCCGGCUGGAGUGAAGUAGAGGUAGGUGGAAUUCCAGGUGUAGCGGUGAAAUGCGUAGAGAUUGGGAGGAACACCAGUGGCGAAGGCGGCCUACUGGACUGUAACUGACGCUGAGGUACGAAAGCGUGGGGAGCAAACAGGAUUAGAUACCCGUGUAGUC
rnacentral:rRNA from 1 species